GAUGACUCUCGACAACGGAUAUCUCGGUUCUCGCAUCGAUGAAGAACGUAGCGAAAUGCGAUACUUGGUGUGAAUUGCAGAAUCCCGUGAACCAUCGAGUCUUUGAACGCAAGUUGCGCCCGAAGCCACUAGGCUGAGGGCACGUCUGCCUGGGUGUCACGC
rnacentral:rRNA from 1 species